GUGAGGAUGAAAAGGAUGAAGACCAGACAUGAGGAGAAGAACAUUCUGGACCACAAAAGGAGGAUGGAUGACGGAGGACCAGCUGUAGAUCAGAGGAAGCGUCUUUGUUGGUCAUCUUGGUAAGUCAUCCCCUCUCUGAGAUAACAGCUGUAAUCUACUGUAAAAUUCAUUUUGAAUAUGUGGAUUACCAAAGGAGCAGUCUUUUAUAUUAUUAUUCCAGUUUUCAAAACGAUUUGAACUAUUUAUUUUCCAUCAACACAAAGUUCUCAAAGAUGUGUUCAAACUUUUUCUGGUGUUUUUCUAUCCUGUAGGGUUGGAUUCCUCUGUGUAUUUUUCGUGUUGCUGGAGGUCAGAGUGCAAGUGAACCAACAGAUCAUCCCAGGACCAAGACCCACUGACACCCACUGGGCCUGAAUCACUUAGAAUGGAUUGAAGCUACUAAUAAGACCAAGAAUUGAGCAUCAGGGUCUGACUCAAAAAGCAAACAGUACUAAUGAUGUUUAAGAGCAGAAACAUCCCAGCCCUGAGGAUGAGG